ACUCCUGCGGGAGGCAGCAGUGGGGAAUAUUGCACAAUGUGCGCAAGCCUGAUGCAGCCAUGCCGCGUGUAUGAAGAAGGCCUUCGGGUUGUAAAGUACUUUCAGCGGGGAGGAAGGCGAUAAGGUUAAUAACCUUGUCGAUUGACGUUACCCGCAGAAGAAGCACCGGCUAACUCCGUGCCAGCAGCCGCGGUAAUACGGAGGGUGCAAGCGUUAAUCGGAAUUACUGGGCGUAAAGCGCACGCAGGCGGUCUGUCAAGUCGGAUGUGAAAUCCCCGGGCUCAACCUGGGAACUGCAUUCGAAACUGGCAGGCUAGAGUCUUGUAGAGGGGGGUAGAAUUCCAGGUGUAGCGGUGAAAUGCGUAGAGAUCUGGAGGAAUACCGGUGGCGAAGGCGGCCCCCUGGACAAAGACUGACGCUCAGGUGCGAAAGCGUGGGGAGCAAACAGGAUUAGAUACCCGUGUAGUCCCA
rnacentral:rRNA from 1 species